GCCUGGCUAGCUCAGUUGGUAGAGCAUCAGACUUUUAAUCUGAAGGCCCAGGGUUCAAGUCCCUGGGCAGAUG